UGGCAGUUGGAUCACUUCACCGUAUUUCCACACACACCAUUUGAAGGCCUCGAUCAAUACAAUGUGCAUUUGAAAAAGAAUGUUGAUUGAUGUCCUCUAGCUCAGCUGAGCAGGAAAACUAAACUGUCACCAAAAUGCUACAAGAUAUCUGGCAAAAAUUAAUAAAAGUGGGUAACGAGUUUUGAACUCUAGUAAACACAUGGCAAUGUUUCAGCUAUAUGUGUGGUGUCAAAAAAACACUGGUCGAUUCGGCAUGGAAUCGCACACCUGCAAGUGCAUCUGUGCCAUUGUCAGCGUUCAGUAAAAACUGCAUUUUACAUAGCUUUGUAAACAUGGUUUAUUGCUAUCUAAAAUACAUGAGUAAAAAUUAAUAGUCGGCUUAAAUUUAAAAUGCAACAAAAAAUCUCCGGUAAUGGCAAUGAUGUGCCUUUCAUGUUUGCAUGAAACCAUAUCUUUUUCUGAAUUCUUUCGUUAUUUUUUUGUGACAGUGAAUAAAAUUGAACUCACAAAAGGA
rnacentral:lncRNA from 1 species